ACUGUAAGGCUGCACCCCCAAAAGGAGGGCCUAGGGAUGGCGUGUGAAAUGUGAUUAUAUUCAGUUCCUUUUUCACCUCAGAAAAGAAAACAGCACAAACAGCAUCAUUCAGGUCAAUGUCCUUCUCCUAUAGCAUUAUUCUCUUGUUUGUGUGUUCCUCUGUCUUCUUCUUCUAACACUGUUCACUCGCGCCUCUGGAAUCAUUGGAUCACUGAAGCCCUGCCCCUCCCUGUAAGUCACCCAAAAUCCGUGGCGUAAAACAACCAUCUCAUUCUGCUCACAGAUUCUGUGGACCAGGGGUUCAAACAAGGUGUGGCAGGGACUGCCUACCUCUGCUCCGUAGUGUCUGGAGCCUCAGCUGGGAAGACUCAAAGGCUGGGGGCCAUUCAAGGCCAUGAGGCUGGGAUAAUCUACAGGCUCAUCGCUCACAAGGCUGGCAGGCGGCACUGGCUGUGAGCUGGGACCUCAGUACAGCUGUCAGCCAGAACAUUCACACUUGGCUGCUUCACACACUUGAGCUUCGUCACAGCAUGGCCACCUCAGGGCAGUCUUACACAGUGGCUCAUAGUUCAGGGCUCCCAGUGUGAGUGUUCCAGCAAAUAAGAUGGAAGCUACAAAACCUUUUCCUACCUAGCUUCAGAAGUCAUGGAGCAUCACUUCUGCCACAAUCAGUUGUCUACAAGCAAGUCAGAAGCCCACCUGGAUUCAAGGGGAGGGGACAUAGACCUGGCUUUGCUUGGGAGGAUCAUAUCCACGACCCUAUGUGCAUUAAUUCUCCAUCCUAUGUGUCAGCAUUGUAGUAGGACUUUCCAUAUGUUACCUCCUAAUCUGAACAACAUCCCAAUGAAAGAUGGAUUGUUAUCUCCAAGCUACAGAUGAGAAGAGGGAGGCUCAAGAUGUGAGUUAAAUUGCCCAGAACACACUGCUAGUCUUCUCAUGGGGUCACGUGGAGAGGACCUGAAGAUAGAGGCUCUUGCUGUCAAUCAAGAAAUAUCUUAUCCCACAACCCAUGCCUGAUACAAAUAGGUGGAGUUUCUGUCCUGCUGUGAGAAGUUCUAUAGGAAGAAUAAUUGUGACCAGAGAAGUUAAGGGUACCUUUAUAAGAAGGCCUUUCUGGUAUGGGAACUGGAACCACAGUACCAGGAGCUGGAAGUAACCUUAUCAAUUUAUAGGUCAGGAAACUGAGUUGAUGAUAAGAGGGAAGUGACUUGCCACAGGUCAGACUCAAAUUAGACAUAGAACCAGGAAAAUAUCCUGUCUCUUGACUCUAAACAUAGUUCUCCUUGCACACAUUGACCUGCCCCUCAUGCGGUUGUUGUGCCCACUGUCACAAAGCCUAAAAUACUGUUUAAUUAUCUUUUAAAUGAGCAUUACAAUUUACCUUUUCUAAAAGAAGCCACUUGAGGGACCAUACUUUGUGUUAUUUGUAGAUUCAGUGCCCAUCACAUGGUCUAAGACAGAAUUGACACUAAAAAUGUCCCUGUAAUAUUUCUCCCCUUGAAUAUGCAAGCAGAGACCUCACUGGGAGCUGAGAUUUGGUGGAUCAUUUUGAUUUAAGUGGGACCUCAUGUUUAACAGGGCUUCCUGUCCAUUAUCUUGCUUGGCUCCUCUUCAAAUACAGUUGUAUUUUCUGGGUUAUUUUUACAUUCAUAAUUCUUGACAGGAAAAUCCUCCCAUCUAAUCUUUGCUUUAUUUCUUUGUUUCAGGACUUUACCUAGCGUGUCUAAUAGAGGAACAAGUCACGUCCCGUGGCUCCAGGCCUGCAAUUCCACAGCAUACCAAAGUCAACCACAAGACUGCCUCCAACCUCACCCAAGUCAAGGGUGGAGGUGGGGCUGCUCUCUGCCCCCUGGGGAGGUAGACUCUAGGACCAAAUGGGUAUGUUCUUUGUUGAUUUCUCCUCCAGUGUUCUCCAGAGAGGUAGCAUUCCUGGAUGAUGGGGUACAGAGAGCUUUGAGAUUAACUUUCAAUAGAGCAACGCAAGCUCAGAUCUAGGGAAGAAUUGUCCACCUGAAAGCUGCUAGAAUAUUGGGGAAACAUCACUUCUUGCUAUUUAAUUCACUCAUCUGGGAUAAAAAGACAUCUCUUGGGGAUGACUUAGAUCAGUGGUGUCCAACCUUUUUCAGUAUGGAGAGCACAUUUUCAUCUGAAAAAAUUUAUAGACCUGCAGAUAAAGAUACUUAACGCUUUAGGAAUGCAUUCGUAGAGCAGUGCUUAAGAGCAGAGGCUAUCACCCUAAAAGGAAUUUGAAUGCUAUUAAUCACAACCUUCUCUAUAUAUUAUCCCAAAUCUGAGUUAUUGCUUUCACUCUGUGUUUCUGUAACUUUCUGUGCCUGUCUUCACCCCUGGACUGGAAACUCCAUAAGGCUGUGACUGGUUUGAUUUGUUCACUACCCACUGUAUACUCAGCACCUAGCACAGUUCCUGCACAAAGUAGGCACCUUAUGUAUACUUGUAGAAUGAAUGAAUAAAUACAUUGGAAGUGUCAGAAUAUAUGUACUUGAGUCAUGCCAUGAAGUCAACCUAUAGGUCCUGAUUCAUGCAAAUAUGGUGCUCCCAUGGGGUCCCAGGGUCCACAGAUUGGAAACCGUGGCUUUAGAUUUACAUCCUUGUGUCCAAUAUUUUGUUCCAUUUUCCCCAUAGGGAGCUUAAUGUUCAGUAGACCACAAACACCAGUCUCUGGGUUUAGAGACAAAUGAUAACUAAAGGCGGGAGCCUGUACCGCUUGACCUGCCUAAAUCCUUUCCAAAAUGGAAAGUCCAUGAAGAGGACAGAAUGCCCAGCUUAAAGGCUGGAACUUCCCAACAACCACGGAGACAGGGAGGUUGAUGACAGCUUCCUUCCACAGCCAGUUUCUAACAUUUGUAGGAGCAAAAAGUAAGGUAAUCUCUAAGAGCCUCUAGGCAAUCUAGUUGUUAUUUCAACCCCAAACAGCCUUGCAAAGGUACUUUGCCUCUUUCCUCUGUCAACCUAUUUGUGUGGAGUGUUGAUAACUAAAGUGACACACAGCAAAUACUCUGUGUCUUGUAAGGCAUUGGCUGGGAGUAGAGAUGAGUUGGGAAAUAUAGGAGUUGAAAGAAAGAAUGCUUGGUUUAAAAUAUGUGUAUGCAACAUGCCUCAUAGAAUGCGUGUAUUAAUAUUUAAAUGCUGACAUCUCUUCUCUCUAGACAACAGCUUUUUCUCUUGAUUCUCCCUGCUCCUCUGGAUAGUCUCCAAGCAAAGAGAGAGUGAGAUUCCAGGUGUGAACAAAUCAGGGAGGUUUCCUGCUUAAGAUUCAGAAAUUCGUAGCCCUGAGGAAAUGAGUAAAAGAGAGGAGGGGAGAGAACAAGAGAGAUGAAAAACAGAAUCUUCGCCACCUGCUAUUUAGUGAUUAACUCUCAGAUAAGGAAGGCAAAGAUGCAUUCCAGGGGCUCAGGACUUGCCCAGGCGGAACUCAGAGUGAAGGAGGGCUUGGAGCAAAGUGAGCCAGAGGUGGGCGGGGGAGACUGGGCCACUAAAAGCACCAUCUAUCAAUUUUCUCUCAAAGCCCCUCCAUUUCAUCUAGCCCCUUCCCUUCCAGCUCUUAAUAAUUUAAGUACCCUCUUUUUCAUUCACCCCUGCCUCACCUGCCUUGUUUUAUGUAAAGGAGUCUUGCAAAGACUAGCUCUGCCACUAACUGUGUGAACCCGGGCAAAUCACUUACCUUCUUAGAUACAGGUCUAGUGGCUGCUAUCUCUUGAGUUUAAAUCGCUUAAUCCAAAGCACAGGAAGGGAAGUCAACAAUAACAACCACCCAACCCAACAAAAAAUCCCCUAAUGCUGGGCGGCAGAAGUCCUGGGGAGUUUGCUGGUGAGCAGCCUCUCUUCUAGUUCUUACUUGCAUGCACACCAGGCUGAUUAAACCACGAUGGAAAGCUGGUGCUUAUCCAUUCCCUUACUGAGGAGCAGCCUGCUCAAUUGUGGUGUUUUGCUUUCUCGGUAGAAAGGGGUGGAAAUCAUUUUUGCAAAGCUUACUCUUCUUACCCAUGCAAAGCUUACAUGCAUGUGGCAUCUGUGGCCACAAACAUGACCCGGGUUCUGAGCAGAGGGGGCAGGGUGCUGUGUACUUGUCUGGGGUGCAAGGCGUCUUCCUCAUUAGCCUUUCCUGCUCCCUUUGUACUUGUGACGGAGAGUGUGUUGUCCUUGACAACCGGCAUGGGUUCAAUUUUUCCAACAUUGUGAGGUCAGCACGUUGGCUUUUAGCCUCUUAGAGCAGGUAAGAGCCAUUGAGCCUGGACAGAUACAAGAGCAAGUUACUAAUUCUUCCUGAUUUUCAUUUUACACUGCUCCCAUAAAAAAUAACUGUAGAAAUUAUGCUGUGGUAGAAAAUAAAUACUCUGGCCGUUAAAAACUGGAAAUCACUAGCUUUGAAGUUUCUCCAAAAAAUACAGCCCCAGUUGCCGUGCAAACUCCAAUCAAACAUGGGCUGUAAAAAUCCAACUGUAGACAUUGCCUUGUAAAGUGUUCACAGAUGCAACAGCAGAAGAAAUUCUUACAGCCUAGAAAAAGCAAGAUGUCUGCUUUUUUCCUUUCUUUCUGUCUUUUUUUUUUUUUGAGGGGAGAUGGAAGGGUUAUGCAUCAAACUGUUCAUUUCAAUAUGUAAUUUGCCUCAAAGAAUUUCUGACAAUUUAUUUUCUCACCAACCUAAAUCCAAUUCAAAAAACAUUUAUUGAAACCCGAACAAUCUACUUUUGGUUGACGAGUGCUAAUAGGUGCAAUGUUAUCCCAGUCAACUUAUAAGAUCACCUACUGAGCUUGGAGCUAAACAGGAAAAAGGAAAUUAAACUGGAGUUUGAAUUUGUUUCAUUCUAAAUUCCCCACCAUAGUUGGAGAUGGACAGUGCUUAAUGAAAAACAAAUUGUACUGUGGGCAUUUCUUUAUUUAAAAAAGCCAAUUUCUUUUUUUUUAAAGUUGGAAGAUGUUCACAUCUUAGUGUCGGAUGUCCCUCUAAAGCAGAGGGGAUAUAUCUGUAUGAAAAAAUAAAUGAUGUCAAAAUG